GGGCUGGUGAACACAUGGAGGUGCUGGGACGGAGGGUCACCCUGAGACGGAGGCUGUGUUGCUCCUGGUUUUAUUUUCCAGCAGUAAAAGAACUAUCGUGCUUUGAAGAUAAUAAGCCCUGUGACCUCAGGCAGAUGCAGUGAUGUUCACAGAAGUCUGGGCCCAGCUGCAAAAAUAACCUCAAAUUCCUAUCUCAGAGCUCUGAGAUACCUUUUGGUAUUCCAAAAACAGAUGCUCCAGUACCGGUGGCAUAAAAUACCCUCCAAACCGACAGCCAGAUGGGAAAAGAGGCAACGUCUGAGAAUCCAAGUCAAGUUGAUGGUCAGUCCUCCAGGGAUAACAGGAGAACAAAGGCUCAGCUAGGACCAGUGACCAGCUAUAGCCCAAUGGGCCUCGCCUUCCAGGAAAGAAGACGAGACACACAGAGAGGAGACAGGAAAUAAUUAUUCCAAGAGAUGAAAGAUGAAGCCAGAGGGAAUAUUAGUACAUACAGAGUGACACCAAGGAGAAGGUGUCAUCAGCCAUCUGCAAACCGAGGACAGAAGUCUCAGAGGAAACCAACACGCCCAGCACCUUGAUCCUGAACUUCCAGCCUCCAGAACUACAUCCAGUCAACAAAAACACUAAAUCAAGCCCCAAUCUGGAGUGAUUGCCAACUUCCGUGGCGAAUAUACUUCAGCCACGGCUGGCCUCCAGCUCCCAGCCUGACGGUCCUGAACCUGGGGCUGGCAGACGAUGUGCCCAGCAGCAUGUUCCACCCUUUCUACCAUACGGGCGCAGCCGACACGAGUGACUUCAAGAGUAAUGAGUAGUAAAAGAACAAGGAAG